rnacentral:rRNA from 1 species
GACGAACGCUGGCGGCGUGCUUAACACAUGCAAGUCGAACGGAAAGGCCCUGCUUUUGUGGGGUGCUCGAGUGGCGAACGGGUGAGUAACACGUGAGUAACCUGCCCUUGACUUUGGGAUAACUUCAGGAAACUGGGGCUAAUACCGGAUAGGAGCUCCUGCUGCAUGGUGGGGGUUGGAAAGUUUCGGCGGUUGGGGAUGGACUCGCGGCUUAUCAGCUUGUUGGUGGGGUAGUGGCUUACCAAGGCUUUGACGGGUAGCCGGCCUGAGAGGGUGACCGGGCACAUGGGGACUGAGAGACGGCCCAGACGCCUACGGGAGGCAGCAGUGGGGAAUAUUGCACAAUGGGCGGAAGCCUGAUGCAGCAACGCCGCGUGCGGGAUGACGGCCUUCGGGUUGUAAACCGCUUUCGCCUGUGACGAAGCGUGAGUGACGGUAAUGGGUAAAGAAGCACCGGCUAACUACGUG